rnacentral:rRNA from 1 species
GACGGAGGGUGCUAGCGUUGUUCGGAAUCACUGGGCGUAAAGAGCUCGUAGGCGGUGUGUCGCGUCGGCCGUGAAAACCUGCAGCUUAACUGUGGGCUUGCGGUCGAUACGGGCAUCACUGGAGUUCGGCAGGGGAGACUGGAAUUCCUGGUGUAGCGGUGAAAUGCGCAGAUAUCAGGAGGAACACCGGUGGCGAAGGCGGGUCUCUGGGCCGAUACUGACGCUGAGGAGCGAAAGCGUGGGGAGCGAACAGG